ACGAACGGUUCGAUAAGAAGUCUCGUA
rnacentral:sRNA from 1 species